rnacentral:lncRNA from 1 species
UCAGUUCUUUUCAACUGCACUGCCUCUUCUAUAUUAAUUCUUAAAGGUAAGGAUAUUCUUAAAGGUAAAUUAUGUUUAAUUCUUAAACAUAAUUCUAUGUUAAUUCUUAACAGUCAUAUUUUUAGCAGUGGUACUUGCACAAAAUCCUAAGGGUGGGAAAAAAAAAAAAAUCCUAAGGGUGGGAAAAUUAAUUUCCGAUGUCAGUUCUUAACGUCUCUAUUACUGAUUUUAACUGAGAAAAUGUGACCGUAUAAAUUGCAGGACCAAAUGGCAGUGGUUUUACACAACAGUUUAAAAUGGGGAGAGAUGAAUUAUUUGCUCUUCUGUGUUCUUACUGUACUUUCCCAUAAUAUUUAAAUUGUUGGUAUUUUAUCUUUACCUCACCACCACUUAUAGGUAUAAUAGAGUAGUCAAAUAAUGUUGCACAUACAUGAGUGGAUAGAGAAACGUGAACAUUUAAGAUCACUAAAUGGAAAUAUAUUGGGGGCAUGUAGGCAUACUUUCCUAAUUUUUUAGAAAGAACUCUUGGUUGUUUAUAUUCUUUAAAUCACCUGAUAUUUGAUAGUCAUAUUUUCUUUCAGUUAGAUGACAAUAGAUGGUGUCAAAGAAAUAGUAGAGGUCAC